AGGGGGGGCUCGUGUACAUGCAGUCGAGCGGACCGGUCGGAGCUUGCUCUGGUUUGGUCAGCGGCGGACGGGUGAGUAACACGUGGGCAACCUGCCCGCAAGACCGGGAUAACUCCGGGAAACCGGAGCUAAUACCGGAUAACACCGAAGACCGCAUGGUCUUUGGUUGAAAGGCGGCCUUUGGCUGUCACUUGCGGAUGGGCCCGCGGCGCAUUAGCUAGUUGGUGAGGUAACGGCUCACCAAGGCGACGAUGCGUAGCCGGCCUGAGAGGGUGACCGGCCACACUGGGACUGAGACACGGCCCAGACUCCUACGGGAGGCAGCAGUAGGGAAUCUUCCGCAAUGGGCGAAAGCCUGACGGAGCGACGCCGCGUGAGCGAAGAAGGCCUUCGGGUCGUAAAGCUCUGUUGUGAGGGACGAAGGAGCGCCGUUCGAAGAGGGCGGCGCGGUGACGGUACCUCACGAGGAAGCCCCGGCUAACUACGUGCCAGCAGCCGCGGUAAUACGUAGGGGGCGAGCGUUGUCCGGAAUUAUUGGGCGUAAAGCGCGCGCAGGCGGUCCCUUAAGUCUGAUGUGAAAGCCCACGGCUCAACCGUGGAGGGUCAUUGGAAACUGGGGGACUUGAGUGCAGGAGAGGAGAGCGGAAUUCCACGUGUAGCGGUGAAAUGCGUAGAGAUGUGGAGGAACACCAGUGGCGAAAGCGGCUCUCUGGCCUGCAACUGACGCUGAGGCGCGAAAGCGUGGGGAGCAAACAGAUUAGAUACCCUGGUAGUCCACGCCGUAAACGAUGAGUGCUAGUGUUAGAGGGGUCACACCCUUUAGUGCUGCAGCUACGCGAUAGCACUCCGCUGGGGAGUACGCGCAGCCUGAAACUCAAGAUGACGGGGCCCGCACAGCGGGUGGAGCAUGGUGAUUAUC
rnacentral:rRNA from 1 species